rnacentral:rRNA from 1 species
AAUAUUGCGCAAUGGAGGAAACUCUGACGCAGCGACGCCGCGUGAACGCUGAAGGCCUUAGGGUUGUAAAGCUCUUUCACCGAUGAAGAUAAUGACGGUAGUCGGAGAAGAAGCCCCGGCUAACUUGGUGCCAGCAGCCGCGGUAAUACGAAGGGGGCUAGCGUUGUUCGGAUUUACUGGGCGUAAAGCGCACGUAGGCGGAUUGGUCAGUUAGAGGUGAAAUCCCGAAGCUCAACUUCGGAACUGCCUUUAAUACUGCCAGUCUCGAGUCCGGAAGAGGUAAGUGGAACUCCUAGUGUAGAGGUGGAAUUCGUAGAUAUUAGGAAGAACACCAGUGGCGAAGGCGGCUUACUGGUCCGGAACUGACGCUGAGGUGCGAAAGCGUGGGGAGCAAACA